rnacentral:rRNA from 1 species
UGGGGAAUAUUGCACAAUGGAGGGAACUUUGAUGCAGCGACGCCGCGUGAACGAAGAAGGCUUUCGAGUCGUAAAGUUCUUUUAUAUGGGAAGAUAAUGACGGUACCAUAAGAAAAAGCCCCGGCUAACUACGUGCCAGCAGCCGCGGUAAUACGUAGGGGGCUAGCGUUGUCCGGAAUCACUGGGCGUAAAGGGUUCGCAGGCGGAAAUGCAAGUCAGGUGUAAAAGGCAGUAGCUUAACUACUGUAAGCAUUUGAAACUGCAUAUCUUGAGAAGAGUAGAGGUAAGUGGAAUUUUUAGUGUAGCGGUGAAAUGCGUAGAUAUUAAAAAGAAUACCGGUGGCGAAGGCGACUUACUGGGCUCAUUCUGACGCUGAGGAACGAAAGCGUGGGUAGCAAACAGG